GCUUACGGCCACACCGGCCUGAGUACGCCUGAUCUCGUCCGAUCUCGGAAGCUAAGCAGGGUCGGGCCUGGUUAGUACUUGGAUGGGAGACCGCCUGGGAAUACCAGGUGCUGUAAGCG
rnacentral:rRNA from 1 species